rnacentral:rRNA from 1 species
GGGGAAUUUUCCGCAAUGGGCGCAAGCCUGACGGAGCAACGCCGCGUGAGGGAGGAAGGCCCUAGGGUUGUAAACCUCUUUUCUCUGGGAAGAAGAUCUGACGGUANCCAGAGGAAUAAGCCUCGGCUAACUCCGUGCCAGCAGCCGCGGUAAGANCGGAGGAGGCAAGCGUUAUCCGGAAUUAUUGGGCGUAAAGCGUCCGCAGGCGGUUUUUUAAGUCUGUUGUCAAAGCCCACAGCUCAANCUGUGGAUCGGCAAUGGAAANCUGGGAGACUAGAGUGUGGUAGGGGUAGAGGGAAUUCCCGGUGUAGCGGUGAAAUGCGUAGAUAUCGGGAAGAACACCAGUGGCGAAGGCGCUCUACUGGGCCACAACUGACGCUGAGGGUCGAAAGCUAGGGGAGCGAAAGGGAUUAGAUACNCCCUGUAGUC